ensembl:snRNA U6 U6 spliceosomal RNA
AUGCUCGCUUCGGCAGCACAUAUACUAAAAUUGGAACAAUUCAGAGAAGAUUAGCAUGGCCUCUGCAAAAGGAUGACACACAAAUUUGUGAAGUAUUCCCAUAUUUU